UUACGACCAUAUCACGUGAAACACCGGUUUCCGUACGAUAAGUUAAGCAACGUCGAGCAUGCUAAGUACCUAAGUGGGUGACCGCUUGGGAAUGCCAGAUGCUG